GAUGAACGCUAGCGGCAGGCUUAAUACAUGCAAGUCGAGAGGUAGCAAGAUUGUAGCAAUACAAUUGUUGACGACCGGCAAACGGGUGCGGAACACGUACACAACCUUCCUACAAGUGGGGAAUAGCCCAGAGAAAUUUGGAUUAAUACCCCGUAACAUAGCGAUGUGGCAUCACAUUGCUAUUAUAGCUUCGGCGCUUGUUGAUGGGUGUGCGGCUGAUUGGAUAGUUGGCGGGGUAACGGCCCACCAAGUCUACGAUCAGUAGCUGAUGUGAGAGCAUGAUCAGCCACACGGGCACUGAGACACGGGCCCGACUCCUACGGGAGGCAGCAGUAAGGAAUAUUGGACAAUGGACGCAAGCCUGAUCCAGCCAUGCCGCGUGUGUGAAGAAGGCCUUCGGGUUGUAAAGCACUUUCAGUAGGGAGGAAGAGUUGAGUGUUAAUAGUACUCAGCUUUGACGUUACCUACAGAAGAAGCACCGGCUAACUCUGUGCCAGCCGCCGCUGUAAUAC
rnacentral:rRNA from 1 species